rnacentral:tRNA from 4 species
GUGUGUGUAGCUCAGCUGGAUAGAGCGUCUGGCUACGGACCAGAAGGUCGAGGGUUCGAAUCCUUUCACACACG